UGUGCUUGAUUUAGGAAGAAGAAAAGCAGUGAACAUUUGACGAAUGUUCAGACAUGGAAGGAACUUGAACUGCGAUUGAAAUACAAGAGAACAAUUGAUGAAGAACACUUGCACUUGAUUAGGCAAGAAGAAAAGUAUUGGCAGCAAAUACUAAAAUGUCUGAUUGCUUUGGUCAGAGUUCUUGGUGUGCAAAACCUGGCCUUUCGGGGAACACAUGAAAAACUGCACUCUUCUGGUAAUGGGAAUUUCCUCAAAUUUGUCGAAUAUCUAUCUUUGUUUGACCCACUUAUGGAUGAGCAUCUUUGCAGGAUUAAGGACCAGGAGAUGCACGUACAUUACCUAGGGAAAGACAUACAGAAUGAGCUUAUUCAGCUUCUAUCCAAUGCCAUCAAACAAAAAAUCCUAGCAUCUGCUCGUGCUGCAAAAUACUUUUCAAUCAUUCUAGAUUGUACACCAGAUGCAGGCCACGUUGAACAAAUGACCAUGAUCAUUCGGUUUGUGGAUAAGCCUACUUCAGAGACUGAGAAUGAGACUGAAUCAGUAUGCAUAAAGGAACACUUCUUGGGAUUUGUGUCGCUUACGGAGACAACUGGAGCUGGUAUGACAGAAAAUAUUCUUCACCAGUUAGAAGAGAUGUCACUGCCUAUAGAAAACUUGCGUGGUCAAGGCUACGACAACGGGAGCAAUACGAAAGGGAAAGAAAAUGGUGUCCAGCGAAGAAUUCUGGAUAUUAAUCCACGAGCCUUUUUUGUUCCUUGCAGUGCACAUUCAUUGAAUUUGGUUGUUAAUGAUGCUGCAAAGUGUUGCUUGGAGGCAACUGCCUUCUUUGAUUUAAUUCAAUGUGUGUAUGUGUAUUUCU